AUCUAAAUUUGGGUGUCCAGCAGCUCAGUGGGCCCACUGGGACAAGCCAGCCAGGGCAUACUUGGAGAUGGCUAUCUCCUCCUCAAAGCAAAGCAAGGAAAGAUCAGCGGGGUGCUGGGAUCCGUCUCAGGGCAUCAGCCUUCUGGGGCGUUCCAGACCGGGGUGUGUGGAGAGGGAGGCUGCGCGAGGCGGGGAGGGGAGAAGCAAGAAGGUGGGGAGGAAAGAGCGUUUAAGAGUAGAGGAGAGAAGAGUAAAUGGAAAGAGAAAGGAAGGGAAGGGAAGGCGGAGCCAGGGGAGGGGCGAGGAGACGGUGACGAAGUCGCGCUUCCAACUUCCCACUGUGCACCCGGUGGGAUCCUUCAUCCCCGCAGGGGCACCUGGAGAGGAGGUGUAGGAGCCGCGGGCGGGGCUGAGAGGGGAGAAAGAAGGAGCAGGGGAGAAAAACAAAGGGGUGAGAGCUCGGCGCCAAGGCCGGGAGGUUUUACCGACGCCCUAGGGGGUGGGGUGGAGGAGGUGGGGCGCGGACCGGCUCCCACGUGCUCCCUUAGCUCCUAGAAGCCCCGAGGCGAGUCCCGCAGCCGCCCGGCCCGCUCCCUGGGUUGCCUUCCACCUACUGUUUGCUCCUGGCUUUCAAUUCAGUGGUGGAAUGUUUCCACCAUUUCCUUCCUGAGGCUGAAGUUGAGGCCCACUGUCUCCGCUGGUUUUAAAAGCAGAAGUAAAGUGUAAAGAAGAGGGAAAUGGCUCUGAUGCAGCAUUUACAUAAGAAACACAUUCAGAAAAAAAGAGGCUGUGAUUCUGAAAGCGUCCUUAUUAUACUGCACUAAAAAUCUCCCCUGGGAUCGGUGGAGGUUUAAAUUAGCUGGGAAGAGGAGGAAAUAAAAUCUGUCUUUUCAAAUUGCAAAUCUCUCCCAAACUGAACAUUUCGCCCGAGGAAACGGCCACACUGUGUUCAGGAGCAGACAAAGCCCUCUUUGAGUGAGGGCCCCACCUUCUCCAGCCUUCAUUACAAUUCCCUGCCUCCUCCUACAUCCGCUGGACAAGUCCUGACACCGCGCUCCUGGGCUAUGUCUUAGUCAUUGAGAGAGAUCUCAAGGAGGCCCUUGUUUUUAGUGGGUGUGCAGUUUGCUCUAAAAAUGUGUCCACCACCCAUGUAAUUGACUUGAGAAAUCAAAGUCAGUGGAAAGAGCACAAAAUGUCAUCCACUUCUACAGGUUUCUUUUAUGAAUGGGUGUAUUCAUUUAUGUUUUCUCCAACAGCUAUCAAAUAUUUGCAUGUUAAACGGCAAAGAAUUUCACAGAAUGCCAUCAA